GACAGACUGGGUUAUGGCAACAUCAAACCAAGCAGCAGAUGAUGAUGUAAAAUGUCUUACAAGGUGGUUACCCAACAUUUCCCUCAGAACAGCAUCGGUGCAUUAAGAAGUGCCAUGUUCCUCAGAUUAUCAAUCCUGCCAUUGUCUCACCAUAUGAAGCAGGGAUUUUAGAUAAAAAGCCACCACCUAGAAUCAAAAGGGGCUUGAAGUUAAUGUCAAAGAUACUUCAGAG